GUUCUUUCCUAGGAGAUGAUACUACCAUGACUACCUUAUACUGAACUUCCAAAGAGAGGACCGUACAGGACAGAGCAGAAGGAGAACACCUGGAGUAUUCCAGAUAAUAUCAUUCCUGAUAAUAUGGCCAUAUGAAUACAGAGAUUUAAAUGUCUUUUCAAUGAAGCUAAUUUUUAUGGACUGUCUGAUGUUCUACACAACAAUUCAGCCAGUUGGUAUCAGAACCAGAGCUUCUGCUACUUCUGGGGCAGUGACAAAGUCCAAGAAAUAUUCUUGAAGAUGUGGGCUCCAGUCACAUGUUGGAAAGUUUUUCUGAUUAAAAAAUAAAUUAU